CAGUCGAACGGAGUUACGAUGAAACCUAGUGAUUCGUAACUUAGUGGCGGCCGUGGUGAGUAACGCGUGGAUAACCUGCCUUGCACUGGGGGAUAACACUUAGAAAUAGGUGCUAAUACCGCAUAAGCGCACGGAGCCGCAUGGCUCAGUGUGAAAAACUCCGGUGGUGUAAGAUGGAUCCGCGUCUGAUUAGCUGGUUGGCGGGGUAGAAGCCCACCAAGGCGACGAUCAGUAGCCGGCCUGAGAGGGUGAACGGCCACAUUGGGACUGAGACACGGCCCAAACUCCUACGGGAGGCAGCAGUGGGGAAUAUUGCACAAUGGGGGAAACCCUGAUGCAGCAACGCCGCGUGAGUGAAGAAGUCAUUCGUGAUGUAAAGCUCUAUCAGCAGGGAAGAAAAUGACGGUACCUGAGUAAGAAGCCCCGGCUAACUACGUGCCAGCAGCCGCGGUAAUACGUAGGGGGCAAGCGUUAUCCGGAUUUACUGGGUGUAAAGGGAGCGUAGACGGCCAGACAAGUCUGAAGUGAAAAUCCAGCGCUUAACGUUGGAAGUGCUUUGGAAACUGCCGGGCUAGAGUGCAGGAGGGGCAGGCGGAAUUCCUAGUGUAGCGGUGAAAUGCGUAGAUAUUAGGAGGAACACCAGUGGCGAAGGCGGCCUGCUGGACUGCAACUGACGUUGAGGCUCGAAGGCGUGGGGAGCAAACAGGAUUAGAUACCCUGGUAGUCCACGCGGUAAACGAUGAUUACUAGGUGUCGGGGGGCUAGAGCCCUU
rnacentral:rRNA from 1 species